rnacentral:lncRNA from 1 species
GCCGACAAAUGGUCUCUCUUCUCUCAUUGUCAAAGCAGGCCCGCUGAUUUUUGUCCAGAGUGUUCCACGAACAGCAAAGACAGAUUCGAUCUGCUUGUCAAUGGACCAUCAAGCAUCUCAAAUUCCACAAAAAAUAAUCCUAAACGAAUAUCUUUUGCAUACGGCGGUGCAUACACGGCCCGUGGCUAUAUAAACCCAUAUUCUCUUUGCAUAAUUAACCAGAUCACUAACGCCAGCGCGCGAGUACUCGAGGAAGCUAGGCCUUAAACUGAAAAUCGGGUUGGUAUACAUACAGGCAAGAAUGGAGGGCAACCGCAAGGAGCACCUGCAGCCACCACCGGGUAAUAUAAUUAGCGUCUGAUUUCUUAAUUGCUACAGUACGUACUGUUUUGUUAAACUAAUUUGCUAACCUGAUUAUAUUUCGUCAGGCUACCCGACGGAGGAUUCGGUGGCAGGAGCAGGAGGCGACGGCUCGCCUCGCGGGGGACGAACAAGGCAACGCGGCCGGAAGACUAGUUUUCUCGAUGCAUGGUGAGCAGAGCACGCACACAGUCUCAUUGUUUUGUUUCCACUGUUUAUAUUUACUUUACAGAGUAGUAUAUACUUUUCAGCUGACUAAUUAACUAGCUAGUCCCGCCCUUAUAAAGCCUGCCAUAAUUCUGUGUGUAAUUGUCUGCAUUUCAGUGUUGCCGCACUAUGCUGCUGUUGGCUGUGCGACCUGUGCUGCGCCUAGCUCGAUGAGAACAUGUACCUGCGUUUACGAGAGAAGUUCUUAGCAGCUGUUAUUAUGUCCAGAUGAUGACGUGCGCCGUCCACAAGUUACGAGGAUCAAUUAUGACACUCUUUGGUCUUGAUGUAUAGCUAGUGUCGUUGGUUUCUACGUACCUGGGUUGUGUGUAUAUGUAUGCAUGUGUCAUAAACAUGUGUUGCGAGUUACUGUGUAUUGGGUCCUGACUGAACUAUCAUUUUUUUGGGUUUUUUUAUCUGUAGCCAUAGCUAGCUGGUAAUGUAAUUAGUUUGUUUGUUCAUGAAACCGAUUUUCGUCACUUCAUCUCUGCUCCGUGAUUCAAUGUCCUGAAUUUGAUGAUGACUUUCUCAUGUUAGUUAUUGUCGUUCUGCCGUUGUUUAACCUUGUACCACUAGCAGG